rnacentral:ncRNA from 1 species
UUAAAGAUAAUGAUGAGAAAGAGUACAUAUAGAAAACUUUUAAGAGAGCUGAAGAAUGGUGGAACUUUAGUAAGGGGUCUUUAUGGAAGCAGUCUUUGAAUCUUACAUUGAGAACUUAAGAAUUAUUCUUAAACUAGAUGUCAACGUCGACCUCACGUUAUAGAGGAUGGAAUAUUGAAAGUAUUCUAACUGAGUGAGCAAUUUAUUGCUUAUUAGGGUGGUACCGCGGAGUAUAGUCUUCGUCCCUUUA